UACAUUCUUAUCCUUUUCUUAUGCUAUCUUUCAAUAUCAAAAAAGAUAUUUAUCAUAUUUAACGUAUUUAUAAAUGUCAGUUAAGCAUUACUCGAGCAUCAUCAUCAUUCAUCAAACAAGAAAAAGAAAAUAAUCACUGCAGCAAAUCAUGGCGAAGAUCAGUAAGUUCCUCAUUAGCUUCUUCUUAUUAGUCUUGAUUGCCAUGCCAUCAGCCUCUUUUGCAAGCAGAUUGAUACUGGAUGAGGAUCAGGAGGUAGUAGAUACCUGCCCAAAAGUUAGGUGCCUACAAAUUGUGUGCCCAAAACCAACAAAGCCAUGCCCACAUAUUAGAUGCAGUAAUGGUUCUUACACUCCGUGCUGUGACUGCCCAAGAUGCUGUGCUCCUGCUAAUUAAUCCAAUGUUAGCUAGCUAGCACUUAAGCAGUGAUUACGAUUACGAAUGGGGUUAGCUAGCUAGCGUUUUGUAUUAGUGUUUUAAUCCAAUGUUGAAUGUAAUAAAAUGUAUGCGAUACUGUGUUGUUUCCA